GUCCGUGUAGCGCAAUGGAUAGCGCGUUGGACUUCUCAUCCAAAGAUCGUGGGUUCGAAUCACACUUGGGAUG